GGAACUCGCCUUUCAGGCAUCCUCUCCUAAAACUUCAUAGCCGUCCCUCGGGGCGGCUUUUUUUUUGACCUGU
rnacentral:sRNA from 1 species